GACGAACGCUGGCGGCGUGCCUAAUACAUGCAAGUAGAACGCUGAAGGAGGAGCUUGCUUCUCUGGAUGAGUUGCGAACGGGUGAGUAACGCGUAGGUAACCUGCCUGGUAGCGGGGGAUAACUAUUGGAAACGAUAGCUAAUACCGCAUAAGAGUAGAUGUUGCAUGACAUUUGCUUAAAAGGUGCAAUUGCAUCACUACCAGAUGGACCUGCGUUGUAUUAGCUAGUUGGUGGGGUAACGGCUCACCAAGGCGACGAUACAUAGCCGACCUGAGAGGGUGAUCGGCCAAACUGGGACUGAGACCCGGCCCAGACUCCUACGGGAGGCAGCAGUAGGGAAUCUUCGGCAAUGGACGGAAGUCUGACCGAGCAACGCCGCGGGAGUGAAGAAGGUUUUCGGAUCGUAAAGCUCUGUUGUAAGAGAAGAACGAGUGUGGGAGUGGAAAGUUCACACUGUGACGGUAUCUUACCAGAAAGGGACGGCUAACUACGUG
rnacentral:rRNA from 1 species